rnacentral:rRNA from 1 species
UACGUAGGGUGCAGGCGUUAAUCGGAAUUACUGGGCGUAAAGCGUGCGCAGGCGGUUUCUUAAGUCAGAUGUGAAAGCCCCGGGCUUAACCUGGGAACUGCGUUUGAAACUGGGAGACUUGAGUGUGGCAGAGGGGGGUGGAAUUCCACGUGUAGCAGUGAAAUGCGUAGAUAUGUGGAGGAACACCGAUGGCGAAGGCAGCCCCCUGGGUUAACACUGACGCUCAUGCACGAAAGCGUGGGGAUCAAACGGG